GGGGCUCCACUACUCGCCAUUGGGACCCAGCCUUGCCCACCAGUAGGUCAACUCUAGGACACCCACAGCGCUGUAGCCAGAGACCUGGGCACUUGACUCUGCCCAUCUGCAGGCUGACAUCACCACCAGGACCCCCCAGGGCCCCAGGCACACCAACGAACAGGCUGAUACCAGCUCCAAGACACCUUGGAACCCUCAGCCACACUGACCAGUGGGUCAACACCAACUGUAGGACACCCCAGACCCCACAACCAGCUGUGUCAGGAUUGGGCACUGCCGACCAGCCGGCCAACAUUAGAUCCAAGGCCCUCAGGCCCAUAGCCGCCCUCCCUGGGACCCAGUUUCAUUCACUGGUGGAUCAGCACUAGCCCUGGUAACCCUUGGGGCUGCAUAGACAGUCACCUUGUGACUCAGCCCCACCCACCAGCAGGCAGCAACCUCUGCACAAAGUAGGGCCUGGCAACCAACCAGACCAUGCACCAGGGACACCUACCAGACUACCCAUAGUAGUUAGCCUACCACAACAGAAGGGCUCACACAGCCUGCAAAGAGGCACCACUAGAGCAUAUAGCUCUGCCGACUAGAGGAGUGUGCUGCUGGGAUGCAUAGGACGUCUCCUGCAAAAGGCCACUUCUCUAAGGUUGGGAAAUGUUUCCAAACACAUGGAGACAAGAAUAGCAAAUUAGGCAAAAUUAUGAGACAGAAAUAAAUUCCAAAUGAAGGAACAAGAUAAAACGCCAGAAGAACUAAGUGAUGUGGAGAUAAGCAAUCUACUGGAUAAAGAGCUCAAGGUUAAGAUGCUGAAUUGAACCCACACAUCUAAUUUUGCUCCCUCCUGAAACCCACUACAACUAAUGUAAAAGGAUUGCUUUUUAAAAAGAUAGAAACUCACGAGGACAGAGAGAACAGAAGAUACAGGAGCAUAAAAGAAUUUUGGAAGAUGGACAACAGAUGAAUGAGUGCUAAUUGACUUAGCAGUCCCAAGAAAACUGACACCCAUCGAAAGCUAAGAACAGGCCUGCUUUCAUGGCAAAAUCCUUAAAAAAAAAAAAAAAAAAAAAAAGGAAUUGGCAGUUUUAGAUACCUCUGGAACUGCAUAAGCCAAAAAUCAGGAGAACUAGGUGAAAGGUGACUAAGAAGCAUUUAAAAUCCUGGUUCUUCUCUCACCCUCCAUGCUCAGGGCUCCUCUCCCACCAGGCGGAGGGCUGGAGAUUUAGUCUCUGGAGAGGGUAAAACAGAGGGUCUCUGGACUGGAGGCAUCAAGCACAGCUGAGGACAAAGGUUUCAUGUGUAGAACAGCGGCGUAAAGUGAACAUUUACUCACUGCAGGCUGAGAUCCUCAGCUUUCUUUCCUACUUACUUCCAAAUCACUAGCAGCUAUUCUCCACCCCUCUUCUUUGGAACUCUGACUAGUCAAAAAAGAAAGAACUAAGUAUACUGGCUUUCGUGUUUCCAAUAAAUGACCACCUAUGUCUCCCA